CCUACGGGAGGCAGCAGUGGGGAAUAUUGGACAAUGGGCGAAAGCCUGAUCCAGCAAUGCCGCGUGAGUGAUGAAGGCCUUAGGGUCGUAAAGCUCUUUUACCAGGGAUGAUAAUGACAGUACCUGGAGAAUAAGCUCCGGCUAACUCCGUGCCAGCAGCCGCGGUAAUACGGAGGGAGCUAGCGUUGUUCGGAAUUACUGGGCGUAAAGCGUACGUAGGCGGUUAUUCAAGUCAGAGGUGAAAGCCCGGGGCUCAACCCCGGAACUGCCUUUGAAACUAGAUAGCUAGAGUCUUGGAGAGGUCAGUGGAAUUCCGAGUGUAGAGGUGAAAUUCGUAGAUAUUCGGAAGAACACCAGUGGCGAAGGCGACUGACUGGACAAGUACUGACGCUGAGGUACGAAAGCGUGGGGAGCAAACAGGAUUAGAUACCCUGGUAGUCCACGCCGUAAACGAUGAUAACUAGCUGUCCGGGUACUUGGUAUCUGGGUGGCGCAGCUACGCAUAAGUUAUCCGCCGUGGGAGGUACGGUCGCAAGAUUAAACUACAAAGGAAGUUAGACGGCGUGAGACGUGCCGACGGACGACCGACCGAGGGGAGGUAGG
rnacentral:rRNA from 1 species